rnacentral:rRNA from 1 species
UCGAGCGGUAACAGGUGUAGCAAUACAUGCUGACGAGCGGCGAACGGGUGAGUAAUACUUUGGAAUCUUCCCAGUAGUGGGGAAUAACCAGUCGAAAGAUUGGCUAAUACCGCAUACGUCUGUAAAGGGAAAGCGGGGGCUCGUAAGACCUCGCGCUAUUGGAUGAGCCAAAGUCGGAUUAGCUAGUUGGUGGGGUAAUGGCCUACCAAGGCGACAAUCCGUAGCUGGUCUGAGAGGACGACCAGCCACACCGGAACUGAGACACGGUCCGGACUCCUACGGGAGGCAGCAGUGGGGAAUAUUGGACAAUGGGGGAAACCCUGAUCCAGCGACGCCGCGUGUGUGAAGAAGGCCUGCGGGUUGUAAAGCACUUUUAGUGGGGACAAAAAGCUACGGACUAAUACUUCGUGGUCUUGAUUUAACCCAAAGAAAAAGCACCGGCUAACUCUGUGCCAGCAGCCGCGGUAAUACAGAGGGUGCGAGCGUUAAUCGGAAUUACUGGGCGUAAAGCGCGCGUAGACGGUUUUGUAAGUCAGAUGUGAAAUCCCUGGGCUCAACCUGGGAACUGCAUUUGAUACUGCAUGGCUAGAGUAUGGAAGAGGGAAGUGGAAUUUCCGGUGUAGCGGUGAAAUGCGUAGAUAUCGGAAGGAACACCAGAGGCGA